AGGAACUCCUAAGAAGAUGGAGUCUUUAUAAAAAGGAGAAACUUGCUCAUAGGGACAGACGCCUAGACAGGGAAGACCACAUGAAGACACGAGGGAGCCACACCUGCCUGCCCAGGAGCACCCGAGGAUACAGAGACCAGGAACCACUUGCAACCAUGAGGAUGCCGGUUUUCUGUGGUGUCUGUUUCCUCCAUGGUCCCCUACAUGUACGCCAGAAUCCGUUCACGCCUUUCAUGCCUCCUGUCCCCACUUCGCUACCAGUCAGAUCCUGGUUUUCUGAAAGUCUGAGUAUCGCCUUCAUUAGUGUCCUGGAACACAUGGCACAUCACUCCUGCUUUCAUUUCACGGACACCACUUGCUUUGCUCCAGAAUUCCUUAUGUUUUACUGUCAUAGACCUUGGCAGCAGCCCUCUGUGAUUCCUUGCUGAGCUGAACCGAUGGACUGGAGUUUGGGCACAGUGCACAUGUGACAGGGUGCUAAGGACCAAGACGGAUAUGCGUCGACCCUGAAAUCAAGCUCCAGUUCAAGCUAAGAAGUGAAUCCUGGUACAUUUUGGGGUGGAGACGAAAGAGGGGAGUGAGGGUAGCAAUGGAAAUGAAAAGGAGGAGUGGAAAGGUGUGCCAGAGAGUGUGGUGCUACCAGUGACGGCAGCUUUGAAGAGUCAUCCCUUGGAGCAGCUCCAAAGACAGGAAGGCAGGCUGAGCAUCAUGGCACAUGGCACGUGGACUGUCUGCACGCCUGAGCUGUGGCAUGUGCUGAUUGAGUUAGAUCAAAUAAUACUGUGGAGCAGCAUUUUCCAAACUGUGUUGCAUGGAGACCAUAUUUACCGGGAACCUAUGAACUGGGUUCAUCCUUGGCUCAUCAUCUAGUGGAGAAGACAGAUAAACGUACAAUUAUCAACAACUGGGUAAGUGGGUUAGCAGUGACAAGUAAAAGUGAUUACUGGAACAGAGAAGACAGAACUUUGAAAAAAGGCAGGAAGGGGUAUUUAGGCAGUUGACACAUGGGUUGGGUCUUAGAAGAGCAAAAAUUCUUUAGGUGGGUGGUGAGGAUGAGGACGGAGACUGUUUCAUGCCAGGAAGCAGCUAAAGGGAUCCUCAAAUAAUUUAACAUGGGAAAACCUCUGGGUGGGGAUAGAUGAUCAGCAAGACAUGAUGCUAUAAGUUUAGGGAGAGUGGGAUCAUAAAACGCUUUGUACGUUAUACCAAAGUAAGUAUCUGCACAAUGAUGGGAUUUUACGCAAGGGAAGAGCAUGGUUAAUAUCCCUGAACUCUUUCCAGUGAGGUUGGUUUUGGAAUAUACACUUGGCUUAUAAUGAACAAAACCCUGUUGUUAUGUUCAUUGUAGGUGUGCCCUAAACGAUAAUGCCCUCUAUAAAGAAUCUCACAUAAGACAUUUCUUGGAGUUCCCAUUGUGGUGCAGUAGAAACGAAUCUGACUAGG